GCGGUUUUAGCUCAGUUGGGAGAGCGUCAGACUGAAGCAAAAACUUCAGUUCAGUCAAUCUGAAGGUCCAGUGUUCGAUCCACUGAAACCGCA
rfam:Nadsonia fulvescens var. elongata DSM 6958 unplaced genomic scaffold NADFTscaffold_7, whole genome shotgun sequence.